CACUUAAAAUACAUAUCAAGCUCGUGUUUCUUGCAUUAACAAAAAUUACAUCUAAAAUUUCAAAACAGCAACUAAAUUAGUGUCUUUCUAUUUUCAAAGUUUUAUCUCCAAACCUAUUAAUAGUUUAAUCUUUUAAAAAUUGGAACACCAGUUAAGUUAAAAUAAAUUUUAAAUACAAAAAACUUAAACAAUGAAUAAUUUAUUUAUUUUUUCUUAAAAAUUUAAAUAUCCGAACCCGAUCCAAAAUAUCUGAAUCCAAACAUAAAACACCCAAACCCGACUAAAAGUGU
rnacentral:lncRNA from 1 species